UUAGAGACGUUGAAGAAGAAGAGUAUAUAGUGGAACUUUAAAGAGAGUUAAGUAUAUGGUGGAAGCUUAACAAGUAAAGCUAUAGAAAGAAGCUUUGGAGUUGUUAUGGGAUUUUCCCCUUAAAGAGAAUGAGUGGAAUAGGCUAUUGUUUAUUCAAUUUAGGUGGUACCACGGAAGUUAAGUUCUUUCGUCCUAUAU
rnacentral:ncRNA from 1 species